CCCCCCGGACGUGGCCCCGCCCCUUUUCCCGUUCCGCUCCCGACCCGGCGCCGCUCCCGCAGCCGCUCCCAGUGCUCCCAGUACCCCCCCGGAGCCCUCCCAGUACCCCCCCAGCGCUCCCAGGAUCCCCCGGGACCCCCCCAGGACCCCCCAGGACCCCCCAGUACCCCCCCAACUCCCUCCCAGUAGCUCCCAGUAGCUCCCAGUACCUCUCCAGUUCUCUCCCAGUGCUCUCCCAGUCCCCGCCAGCUCUCUCCCAGUCCCUCCCAGUAGCUCCCAGUCCCCCCCAGUAGCUCCCAGUAGCUCCCAGUACCCCUCCAGUUCUCUCCCAGUAGCUCUCAGUCUCUCCCAGUCCCCCCCAGCUCUCUCCCAGUCUCUCCCAGUAGCUCCCAGUUCUCUCCCAGCUCUCUCCCAGUCUCUCCCAGUCUCUCCCAGUAGCUCCCAGUUCUCUCCCAGCACUCUCCCAGUAACUCCCAGUCUCUCCCAGUCUCUCCCAGUCGCUCCCAGUUGCUCCCAGUUCUCUCCCAGUCUCUCCCAGUAACUCCCAGUUCUCUCCCAGCUCUCUCCCAGUCUCUCCCAGUUCUCUCCCACUCUCUCCCAGUCACUCCCAGUCCCCCCCAGUGCUCUCCCAGUCUCUCCCAGUAGCUCCCAGUUCUCCC